rnacentral:lncRNA from 1 species
ACGAAGUUUAAGAAAAGAUAGAACACUUUUAAACUUGUGGUGUAAAAUGAAGCACAUAUAUUUUGUGUAGUUAUAAAUCAUUGUAUAAAGAUAUAUUGUUUUCAAAUAGGGAAGGCGAAAUGGCUUCCUAACCACUCAAACUUGCAGCCGAUUUUAAAGCCGAUACACCAACUGACAAGUUUCCCAUUUGAACACUCCAACUCAAUAAAAUGAAUAUCAAUAAACAUAUCCAUCAGAGCGUGAGCUUCAAUUGCCUAACAAGAAUGACAAGUCACACUCUGUGACAUUUUUUGACACGUGUAAUUUGUGGGUACCACAUUUUUAAUAGUGCCAAUUUGCC